GGCUAAGAAAAUGAUUGUACAGAAGAAGAUACACGAGAAAUGGGUCCCGCCGCGGUAUGGCAUACUCCAUGACUUCAUCCAUGGUCGUAAUCUUCUUCUUCGUCCACAAAUAAAGGAAUAUUUCUCAUCAUCGAUCAGCAAAUCACAACCCAAUUUUACUUCUACUUGACAAACUCUUGCUGUUAGGUUUUUGAUUGCUUUGUAAGAUAUGUGGGGAUUUGGGGGUAGGUAUUAUUGGGGGACGAGGAGGAAAGAAACCGAAAAAGUGGAAGGUAUUGUCGUGGUUUUCGCUUGGAUGUCCAGUCAAGAUAAGCACCUCAAGAAUUACGUCGACUUAUAUUCUUCUCUCGGUUGGAAUUCUCUCAUCUGCCAUUCCCAAUUCCUCAACUUGUUCUUUCCUGAGAAGGCAACAGCAUUGGCAUUUGAAAUACUCAAUGAACUUAUUAAGGAACUUAAAAUGAGGCCAUGCCCUGUUGUUCUUGCUUCAUUUUCUGGUGGUCCAAAAGCUUGCAUGUAUAAGAUGCUUCAGAUAAUUGAUGGAAGAAGUCAAUCGCUUCCAAAUUCAGUACGCAAAGUGAAUCUUAUAAUUCAAGAUCUUCUUCCCUUUUCUCUUCGUUCAUGUCGUAUUUGCCUUGUGUAGGAUGAGUACAAGCUAGUUAAGGACUGCAUAUGUGGUCAUAUCUAUGAUUCAACUCCAAUUGACUUUAAAAGUGACAUGGGUAUGCGUUUUAUUCUACACCCGACGGUUCUACAAAUGUCUAGUCCACCACCUAUAGUAAAAUGGAUUGUAAAUUCCAUAUCUUCCGGCUUGGAUACUCUUUUCCUCACUAGAUUUGAAUCGCAACGAGCUGAUUAUUGGCAGACUCUUUAUUCCUCUGUGAGCAUGGGGGCUCCAUAUUUAAUCUUCUGUUCAGAAGACGACGAUCUUGCUCCUUGGCAUGUUAUCUUUAAUUUCGCUCAAAGAUUAGAAGCUCUGGGCGGAGAUGUGAAAAUGGUGAAAUGGAAUCGAUCUUCUCACUGCAGGUCAUUAUCGCAAUUACCCAAUUGAAUAUAGUGCUGCUGUAACAGAGCUUCUUGGUAAGUCAUCAACAAUAUACUCUCAAAGAAUUAGACAACUCGAAGGGGAAGAAAGAAUGGGAUUCGACAGUAGUCAUGACGAAGAACAUGGCCCAUUUCAAUCUCUGAAGAAAGCAACGAAAAACGCAAAUCAGAUCGUGAGAAGAGUCGCUCUAGGAUCGAAAGAUCAUUUCGUUGUUCCCACUUCUGUGGAGUAUCACGAUGGAAAAGCAGUUGGGUCUGUUGAGGAUGGUGAAAGAGGAGGAUUUAUUCAAUUGACGAACUUGCCGAGGAUAAACGCUCAUGGUGUUCUUGGACAAAUACUUUACGAUGUUUGCGUUCCGAAGAACGUGGAGGAUUGGGAUGUGAAGGAUUCUUCGAAUUUCAGUAUGGCUCCGUUUCCUAAUUUGUCAAGAAGGAUUUACAUGAAUCCUAUCAAGUGUAUUCGAAAAUCAAGAUUGUGAUUUCAAAUAAUCAAAUGGGUUGGCUGAGUGUGAAUUUGUGUGGAAUUCUAGUCUUGGCCUCCAUUUUCAGGAUGGAUUUUCCUUCUCUGCCUGUAAUCUUGGAUCUUAAAUUGUAUGUAGAAGAGAGACUCUGUGUCAUAUGUUAUUAACAUUUGAUCUUAUGUAUGAUUUUUGUCACAUAAAACUAUUUUAGUAGGUUGAGUUUAGUGCUUCAAUUAUAUAAUGAAAUUAUUUUUUAGAUGUUAAA